rnacentral:lncRNA from 1 species
AUGAAAACAUUUAUUCAAAUUUCUAUUUUCUGUGGCUUAUUCCUAGGAGUGUUUAGAAGAUUUGAAAAUGUAUGUAAAGACACCAUGACCAAUUGUACAAGGGAUGAAAUUAGAUGUAUGGACCCAGAGUAUUACUUUCAAUGUUCAAAAGCAUGUGGAUGUACAGGUUCCUGUCUUGAUCCAAAUGCUUGGUGUCUUCAACUAUUUGUUGAAAUGAACCUAAUAGAAAUAGUUGUCCAUGAUCUUGGGGGGCUUGCGAAGGUAAAAUACAAUUAU